GACGAACGCUGGCGGCGUGCCUAAUACUUGCAAGUCGAACGAACUCUGGUAUUGAUUGGUGCUUGCAUCAUGAUUUACAUUUGAGUGAGUGGCGAACUGGUGAGUAACACGUGGGAAACCUGCCCAGAAGCGGGGGAUAACACCUGGAAACAGAUGCUAAUACCGCAUAACAACUUGGACCGCAUGGUCCGAGUUUGAAAGAUGGCUUCGGCUAUCACUUUUGGAUGGUCCCGCGGCGUAUUAGCUAGAUGGUGGGGUAACGGCUCACCAUGGCAAUGAUACGUAGCCGACCUGAGAGGGUAAUCGGCCACAUUGGGACUGAGACACGGCCCAAACUCCUACGGGAGGCAGCAGUAGGGAAUCUUCCACAAUGGACGAAAGUCUGAUGGAGCAACGCCGCGUGAGUGAAGAAGGGUUUCGGCUCGUAAAACUCUGUUGUUAAAGAAGAACAUAUCUGAGAGUAACUGUUCAGGUAUUGACGGUAUUUAACCAGAAAGCCACGGCUAACUACGUGCCAGCAGCCGCGGUAAUACGUAGGUGGCAAGCGUUGUCCGGAUUUAUUGGGCGUAAAGCGAGCGCAGGCGGUUUUUUAAGUCUGAUGUGAAAGCCUUCGGCUCAACCGAAGAAGUGCAUCGGAAACUGGGAAACUUGAGUGCAGAAGAGGACAGUGGAACUCCAUGUGUAGCGGUGAAAUGCGUAGAUAUAUGGAAGAACACCAGUGGCGAAGGCGGCUGUCUGGUCUGUAACUGACGCUGAGGCUCGAAAGUAUGGGUAGCAAACAGGAUUAGAUACCCUGGUAGUCCAUACCGUAAACGAUGAAUGCUAAGUGUUGGAGGGUUUCCGCCCUUCAGUGCUGCAGCUAACGCAUUAAGCAUUCCGCCUGGGGAGUACGGCCGCAAGGCUGAAACUCAAAGGAAUUGACGGGGGCCCGCACAAGCGGUGGAGCAUGUGGUUUAAUUCGAAGCUACGCGAAGAACCUUACCAGGUCUUGACAUACUAUGCAAAUCUAAGAGAUUAGACGUUCCCUUCGGGGACAUGGAUACAGGUGGUGCAUGGUUGUCGUCAGCUCGUGUCGUGAGAUGUUGGGUUAAGUCCCGCAACGAGCGCAACCCUUAUUAUCAGUUGCCAGCAUUAAGUUGGGCACUCUGGUGAGACUGCCGGUGACAAACCGGAGGAAGGUGGGGAUGACGUCAAAUCAUCAUGCCCCUUAUGACCUGGGCUACACACGUGCUACAAUGGAUGGUACAACGAGUUGCGAACUCGCGAGAGUAAGCUAAUCUCUUAAAGCCAUUCUCAGUUCGGAUUGUAGGCUGCAACUCGCCUACAUGAAGUCGGAAUCGCUAGUAAUCGCGGAUCAGCAUGCCGCGGUGAAUACGUUCCCGGGCCUUGUACACACCGCCCGUCACACCAUGAGAGUUUGUAACACCCAAAGUCGGUGGGGUAACCUUUUAGGAACCAGCCGCCUAAGGUGGGACAGAUGAUUAGGGUG
rnacentral:rRNA from 1 species